rnacentral:rRNA from 1 species
GACAGAGGUGCCGAGCGUUAGGCGGAAUCACUGGGCUUAAAGCGUGUGUAGGCGGGCGGGCAAGUACCUUGUGAAAUCCCACGGCUCAACCGUGGAACGGCUGGGUAUACUGCCUGUCUUGAGCCAACUAGGGGCGAGCGGAACAGACGGUGGAGCGGUGAGAUGCGUAGAUAUCGUCUGGAACGCCAAAGGUGAAAACAGCUCGCUGGGGUUGUGCUGACGCUGAGACACGAAAGCCAGGGGAGCGAACGGG